rnacentral:misc_RNA from 1 species
UUAACUUAUUUGUUUUUUUGCUCAGAGAUACAGGUAUAAAAGAGUUUGGUAGUCCUUCGGCGGUCACUCCCGGGUAGCUAGCUACAGGGUAGGCCCGCCGAGGCAACAGGUAUGUUCACAUGGGUUUAGGGAGUUUUACAACUCUAUAAUGAUCCCUCCGCUGGUUCACCAACGGAGA